CCUACGGGAGGCAGCAGUGGGGGAUAUUGGACAAUGGGGGAAACCCUGAUCCAGCGACGCCGCGUGAGUGAAGAAGUAUUUCGGUAUGUAAAGCUCUAUCAGCAGGGAAGAAAGAAAUGACGGUACCUGAGUAAGAAGCCCCGGCUAACUACGUGCCAGCAGCCGCGGUAAUACGUAGGGGGCAAGCGUUAUCCGGAAUUACUGGGUGUAAAGGGAGCGUAGACGGUAAGGAAAGUCUGGAGUGAAAGGCGGGGGCUCAACCCGCGGACUGCUCUGGAAACUGUGUAACUGGAGUGCAGGAGAGGAAGGCGGAAUUCCUGGGGUAGCGGUGAAAUGCGUAGAUAUUAGGAGGAACACCAGUGGCGAAGGCGGCCUGCUGGACUGAAACUGACGUUGAGGCACGAAAGCGUGGGGAGCGAACAGGAUUAGAUACCCGGGUAGUC
rnacentral:rRNA from 1 species